UACAGAGGGGGCAAGCGUUGUUCGGAAUUACUGGGCGUGAAGGGCGCGUAGGUGGCCUUCUAAGUUGAACGUGAAAUCCCUGGGCUCAACCCAGGAACUGCGUCCAAGACUGGGAGGCUUGAAUCCGGGAGAGGGAUGCGGAAUUCCAGGUGUAGCGGUGAAAUGCGUAGAUAUCUGGAGGAACACCGGUGGCGAAGGCGGCAUCCUGGACCGGUAUUGACACUGAGGCGCGAAAGCCAGGGGAGCAAACGGG
rnacentral:rRNA from 1 species